AUUGAACGCUGGCGGCAUGCCUUACACAUGCAAGUCGAACGGCAGCACGGGAGCAAUCCUGGUGGCGAGUGGCGAACGGGUGAGUAAUAUAUCGGAACGUGCCCAGUCGUGGGGAUAACGUAGCGAAAGCUACGCUAAUACCGCAUACGAUCUAUGGAUGAAAGCGGGGGAUCGCGAGACCUCGCGCGAUUGGAGCGGCCGAUAUCAGAUUAGGUAGUUGGUGAGGUAAAGGCUCACCAAGCCGACGAUCUGUAGCUGGUCUGAGAGGACGACCAGCCACACUGGGACUGAGACACGGCCCAGACUCCUACGGGAGGCAGCAGUGGGGAAUUUUGGACAAUGGGCGCAAGCCUGAUCCAGCAAUGCCGCGUGCAGGAUGAAGGCCUCGGUUGUAAC
rnacentral:rRNA from 1 species